UUUAUAUAUAUUUACUAUAAUGAUUUUUCUGCUAGCGAGAAGGCGUAGCCACCUAGCGGCAAAACCAAGAACUAACUUAAAAUAAAAAAAAAAUACUCGCUAAUUUUAUAUAAAUCAAGCUAAAAUAACUAAUUUAAGGACAAAAAAUUUUGGGCUAAUAUAUACUCUGGUAAGAUUUUUCUGCUAGCGAGAGGGCGUAGCCACCUAUCGGCAAAACCAAAAACUACCAAUUUAAAAAAUACCUACUAAUUUUUAAA